UUGAGGAGGCGGUGACCAUGGCGGUGUAGGUGGAAGCAGCAGCGGUGGAGGAGGAUGAGGUAGCCAACGCUGUUUAUAUAUAUAUAUAUAUAUAUAUAUAUAUAUAUAUAUAUUUUUUUUUUUAUUGGGGUAGCCCCCCAAAUAUUGAGACAUAUAAAAAAAGACAACUCUGUUCCGCAGAGUAGCUGUUGACAUUAUAGUUGCGCAGGCACUUUGUUGACUCUAGAGAACCUCGGACCAAUCGCACAUCUCCGUGGCGGCGACUUUGCAUGCGGAUGUCAUCCAUAUAAACUUUAGAUGCCUGCACCUACCAUGGUGACCACGGGUAAUGGGGAAUCAGGGUUCCAUUCCGUACAGGGACCCUGAGAAAUGGCUACCAUAUGCAAGGAAGGCAACAGGCGCGCAAAUGACUCACUCCUGACGCGGGAAGGUAGUGACAGCAAAUAACAAUACAGGACUCUUUAGAGGCCCUGUAAUUGUAAUGAGUCUGUGGCGGAACCAGCCUCGCCAUUGGGCAUUGGAGAAGACUGAUUGCCAGCAUCCUGCCAUGUGACUAUGGCCCCUG